rnacentral:rRNA from 1 species
UACGAAGGGGGCUAGCGUUGCUCGGAAUUACUGGGCGUAAAGCGCGUGUAGGCUGCUUCGAAAGUCGGAUGUGAAAGCCCUGGGCUCAACCUAGGAAGUGCAUUCGAAACUUCGAAGCUGGAGUCCUGGAGAGGAAGGCGGAAUUCUCGGUGUAGAGGUAAAAUUCGUAGAUAUCGAGAGGAACACCGGUGGCGAAGGCGGCCUUCUGGACAGUGACUGACGCUGAGACGCGAAAGCGUGGGGAGCAAACAGG